rnacentral:rRNA from 1 species
GAGUUUGAACCUGGCUCAGGAUGAACGCUGGCGGCGUGCUUAACACAUGCAAGUCGAACGGACUCGUAUUGAAACCUAGUGAUAUAUGAGUUAGUGGCGGACGGGUGUGUAACGCGUGGAUAACCUGCCGUAUACAGGGGGAUAACACUUAGAAAUAGGUGCUAAUACCGCAUAAGCGCACAGCUUUGCAUGAAGCAGUGUGAAAAGCAAAAAGUUAAAACUUUUGACGGUAUACGAUGGAUCCGCGUCUGAUUAGCCAGUUGGCGGGGUAACGGCCCACCAAAGCGACGAUCAGUAGCCGGCCUGAGAGGGCGGACGGCCACAUUGGGACUGAGACACGGCCCAGACUCCUACGGGAGGCAGCAGUGGGGAAUAUUGCACAAUGGGGGAAACCCUGAUGCAGCGACGCCGCGUGAGUGAAGAAGUAAUUCGUUACGUAAAGCUCUAUCAGCAGGGAAGAAAUACUGACCUUACGGUCAGCAGACGGUACCUGAGUAAGAAGCCCCGGCUAACUACGUGCCAGCAGCCGCGGUAAUACGUAGGGGGCAAGCGUUAUCCGGAUUUACUGGGUGUAAAGGGAGCGUAGACGGUACGCCAAGUCUGAAGUGAAAUGCCGCAGCUUAACUGCGGAACUGCUUUGGAAACUGGCGGGCUAGAGUGCGGGAGGGGUAAGCGGAAUUCCUAGUGUAGCGGUGAAAUGCGUAGAUAUUAGGAGGAACACCGGUGGCGAAGGCGG